rnacentral:tRNA from 1 species
GAGGGUAUAGCUUAGGGAUAGACUGUGUGCUUAAUAUGCACAAGGUCCUGGGUUCAAUCUCCAGCACCUCCA